rnacentral:tRNA from 1 species
UCCCAGGUAGCUCAGUGGUAAAGAAUCUGCCUGCCAAGCAGGAGAUGUAGGUUCAAUCCCUUGGUCGGGAA